AAAUAAUCCAGGCACAAUAACCACUACAGGUCAGUGUAGUAGUUAUGGUGCUAGUAGUGCCAGGAUCCCAUCUCAGAGUAAGUAGUCAAACCGUUUAAGAACAGUUUGACAACUUACCUGGGGUCUGCUGGGAUAUAGGGUAUAGGAGCAGUGGUAUGUGUUAGGGGUGAAGUGUGUGAAAGGUGCAGUGUGUGUGUGUGUGUGAGCGGUGAAAUGUGUGUGCGAGUGGGUUAGGCGGCAGUUUAUGUCAGGGUUCCAGUGUGUGUGUUAAGG